GAUCCUAUUGAAAGGCAAAUUAAAUGAAAACACAUCUUUCAAGGGCUGUAGGGACAAUUCCAUUUUAUGAGAUUGUAGUUUCAUCUUCAACAAAAGGUGAAGAGAAAAUUCCCGAUAAAAGAAGCAUCUCUGUAGAAUCAAAAGGCGAUUGUAUUCUAUUGGGGAAAUUAUCAUUCCCAAAAAGCCCGAUACCGAACCCUGAGCCUAGUCAGUUUGAACGACCCGAGAAGGUCCGAUUGGUCUCAAUGCUACAAACUAGGUACACGGAGAUCAUGGACUCCAAGAGGCCUGGGAUCUACAGAGUAUUAUCACCUUAAAGGGAUAGAGCUCCCGGCCAAUCCGAUACCCCGCAUAAUCAGCAAUAAAUCCCAAGUAAAUCAUGGGCUACUACAAAUCCAGAGGGAGGACAGCUAAUCCUAAGAUAUUCGGGGAGUAAAUCACGGGUCGUCAAUUCUAUAAAGGGGUUAUGGAUCCCGGGAAAUAUGGGAUCCCCUGAACACCAUAACUGUGCUUGUGCACCUAUAAAUUAGCGACUAUUCCCAGAGUGUGACCCCGUUGGCACACCCGACAGGUCUCGUUGUUUUGCAAGUUACGAAGGAAGCGAAUCACAAGGUGACACGUCACCAAAUCGGAAAACUGCAUGAACAAUUGGGCACCGUCUGUGGGAAUGAUUUUAUCGUCUCUUACAUACAAAAUCUGCAAUGGUGACGACGAGAACAGAGAACCAAAGAAGACCUCGAAAUAUUCGGGAUAGGCAUGAAAGGAACAAAAAUGGAGAAAACCCACCUCCAGAAAUCCAAAUGAUAGCUGGAGGGUCCGACGGAGGAGGAGAAGCAAGCUCGGUUUGGAAGGCCUAUGCAAGACAGGUGAAGGAUUACGAGGUACACUCUAUUCAAAAACCUCUGAAAUCGAGAAGGUGUGAAACCCUGGUGAUAAGGUUUUCAGAUGAUGACUACGCGGGAGUAUCCUCCAACAUACCGAUGUAUUGGUGGUAGUGCUGGAUAUUGUCGGGCCACAAGAUACAUCAGAUUUUGGUGGACACAGGAAGCUCAGCUGACAUUCUAUACAAGUCAGCCUUCGAGCUCAUGAAGGUUGUAAUACCCCGUAUUUUAAGAUAUUAAAUAAAAUAUCUUAAAAUAAGAUUUAAGACCUAAUAAUAUAAAUAUAAUAAAUACGAAUAUUUAUUAGAUAAAUAUUCAUCAAUCUUUUUUUUCA